UCGGAUUAGGCUAUAGAGGAGGGUGAAUAUAGCUAAAGUGUAACUAUCCCCGAAAAGAACAAAAUUUCAAUUCGAUCGCAAAACUCCGAAAAAUAUAUCUCCGUGAAAAAUAGGAGGACAGGAAUGGAGAUAUCAAAAAUAAAAUAGAGCAUGAAAUAUCGACAGGAAUUUAAAUGCGGAAAGCGUAAAAAUUGAAAUGUGGUAAAUAAAAUUUCAUUUCACAAGUAAACUUCAAAUUUCAUUUCUGAAGUUUACAAAGCUUGGUUCACAAGCUUAACAAUAACAAUUCAUGAGAGUUAUUGUCACAUCUAGCCAACACAAGCUAGAGUAACAAACCACUCUUGAAAACAUUUUUCAUUCCAUC
rnacentral:lncRNA from 1 species